GUAAAGGUAGCUCAGUGGUAGAGUGCUUGCCUUACAUGCAUGAGGUCCUGGGUUUGCUACCUUAGCA
rnacentral:tRNA from 1 species